rnacentral:rRNA from 1 species
CGCGUAGGCGGCUUGGCAAGUUGGGUGUGAAAGCCCUGGGCUCAACCCGGGAAUUGCACUCAAGACUGCCUUGCUUGAAUUCGGUAGAGGUUGGUAGAAUUCCCAGUGUAGAGGUGAAAUUCGUAGAGAUUGGGAAGAAUACCCGUGGCGAAGGCGGCCAACUGGACCGACAUUGACGCUGAGGCGCGAAAGCGUGGGGAUCAAACA